rnacentral:rRNA from 1 species
GACGAACGCUGGCGGCGUGCCUAAUACAUGCAAGUGGGACGCAAGGGAACACACUGUGCUUGCACACCGUGUUUUCUUGAGUCGCGAACGGGUGAGUAACGCGUAGGUAACCUGCCUAUUAGCGGGGGAUAACUAUUGGAAACGAUAGCUAAUACCGCAUAAUAUUAAUUAUUGCAUGAUAAUUGAUUGAAAGAUGCAAGCGCAUCACUAGUAGAUGGACCUGCGUUGUAUUAGCUAGUUGGUAAGGUAAGAGCUUACCAAGGCGACGAUACAUAGCCGACCUGAGAGGGUGAUCGGCCACACUGGGACUGAGACACGGCCCAGACUCCUACGGGAGGCAGCAGUAGGGAAUCUUCGGCAAUGGACGAAAGUCUGACCGAGCAACGCCGCGUGAGUGAAGAAGGUUUUCGGAUCGUAAAGCUCUGUUGUAAGUCAAGAACGUGUGUGAGAGUGGAAAGUUCACACAGUGACGGAGC